rnacentral:tRNA from 1 species
GCACUGGUAGCUCAGUUGGAUAGAGUACCUGGCUACGAACUAGGGGGUCAGAGGUUCGAGUCCUCUCCAGUGCA